UAUUUUUCUAUACAUUUAUUUUCUAUAGUCUCAACUGAAAACACAACGAAAAUAACGCAAACUAAUGGAUGCUGAUUUUGACGUUAAAUACGUUAUACUACUUUUGGAAUAAUAUCAACAAUAAAUUUGUUAAUGUUUUUUGAAACCGACAUGCUUACCUACUAUGUUUUUUUUAAUCAAAUAUCUACAUCUCAACAUGAAAAAUAGCAGAUUUUUUGUGUUGGUUAUGAAAUCUCUUCAACGUCAAAAAAAAGGUCCAAACUUCUUAAUUUAUAACAAUUUUGAGUACCUGCUUUCCAAUUCAGACUAAUUUGAAUAGAAAGUAUGUAUGUACAAAAAUAGAAAAUCACCAAUGCAGACUGUUAGUUAAGAAAAUAAUUGAAUUUUUUUAAUUUUCUCUAACUGGCUACGUCUUUACUACGCCUCAAAUUGGAAAUAUCUUCUCGAUAAUCUGAUGGCAAAUUAAAUAUUUUUCCAACAAAGAUCACUGAAAUUUUUUUGAAGAAAAUCCUGCAUUUACAAAAGGAAAUUCUAAUUAACUAAUUUUGUUUUAGUCAAUUUCUGGAGUUUUUUUUUUUCUAUAAGUACGUUUAAUUCAACAUCACUCUCGAUUGAGAACACAUCGAAAUCAACACAAACUAAUGGAUAGUGCUAAUUUUGAUGUUAAAUACUUACGUUUUUUACAAUCUAUGAAAAGAUUCCUAAGCAUUAUUGAAUCCAAAGUUGAACAUACAAAGAAGAAAAUCACCGAUCCAAAGUUUUACAUACAAAAUUGACUGGAUUUUUUUUGUUUUCAUCAAUGACCGCCUUCCUACUACAGUCAAAAUAAAAAUGGUCCAUUGACAACUUAAAAACAACUUAAAUUCUUUUCCAACAAACUCUGCUACAAUUGAAAUAAAGAAAAUCCUUUUUAAGAAGUGUCUUCCUUAUUUAGUAAAAGAUCGAUUUCUGAAGUUUUAUAUUUGUUCGUUUCCAUCUACACGAUCUGAACUGAAAUCGCAAAAAAGACAAGACACUAUGGUGGAAACAUAUUUUCAAAGGUUCUUUGGAUCUACAAAUAUAUAUUUUUAAA